AGCCUCGUUUUAUGAGUUGCUGGGGUAGCUGAUCAGUACUGUCUGCCCUUGGGAAGAAAUGAGGUGAGGAAAAAGAUAUGCAAAGGAAUGGACUCCUGGAUGGGCCUGUCUUCUCAGCAGAGGAGGAGGUCAGAAACAGGCGCCACCAGCGUGCUAAAAUCCUCCAGGAGCAGUUCUUACCUUGCCAGACGGGGUCUGUUUAUUUGGAUCAAACUGAGAAGAAACUUUGGAUUUGCUGUUUCCUGAAAGGUAAGCUCCUGAAGAAAGCGUCUAGCUCCAACUGUGCUUCCUCCCUCCAGUACCCUCUGAACUCCUCCAAGCAGACGUUGUUUCCUGCAGACAUCGCUGGAACCAUUCUGGUUAACACAGAGUGGGAACUCAGUACACAUUUGUGAAGUGAACUCCUGGAAGAGCUCUUGUGAGGGAGGCACCGAAUUAUCAGGCAGCUCAAGAGAUAGAUUCACUCUCCUGAAAUUAGAGAUGGGAUGCCCUUAAUACAAUUCAUUCCACCCAUUAAGUCUUCAAUAAAUGUUCAGCAUAUCCAGUUAAGAGAA
ensembl:lncRNA EXOSC10-AS1 EXOSC10 antisense RNA 1